rnacentral:rRNA from 1 species
GAUGAACGCUGGCGGCGUGCCUAAUACAUGCAAGUCGAGCGAAUGGAUUAAGAGCUUGCUCUUAUGAAGUUAGCGGCGGACGGGUGAGUAACACGUGGGUAACCUGCCCAUAAGACUGGGAUAACUCCGGGAAACCGGGGCUAAUAACGGAUAAUAUUUUGAACUGCAUGGUUCAAAAUUGAAAGGCGGCUUCGGCUGUCACUUAUGGAUGGACCCGCGUCGCAUUAGCUAGUUGGUGAGGUAACGGCACACCAAGGCAACGAGGCGUAGCCGACCUGGGAGGGUGAGCGGCAACACUGGGACUGAGACACGGCCCAGACUCCUACGGGAGGCAGCAGUAGGGAAUCUUCCGCAAUGGACGAAAGUCUGACGGAGCAACGCCGCGUGAGUGAUGAAGGCUUUCGGGUCGUAAAACUCUGUUGUUAGGGAAGAACAAGUGCUAGUUGAAUAAGCUGGCACCUUGACGGUACCUAACCAGAAAGCCACGGCUAACUACGUGCCAGCAGCCGCGGUAA